CGUCUAUCUCGCACCGCUCGGAGAAAAUCCCCCCUCCUCUCUCUCUCUCUCUCUCUCUACUGCAACCAGCAACGGGAUCCGCCGCAACCAGCAACGGCGAGGUGAGAGGUGGCCAGAUCCGCACAGGUCGCCAUGGCGUAGACGGCGACGAUGACAGGAGUGGCGCACAUCCGUGGGGCAGGCCGCCGCCAUGGAGAUGGAGCUCCUUCUCCCCACGACGCAGAGGCCCCAUGGGGCCUCCCUCCUUCUCCGGCUUCAGUUCUAGCAACCAUUUUGCAUCGAUGGAUAUUGGCGGAUUUGAUAUGAUCUGUAGUGGAAGGGACAAGAUUGAAACACCAAAGCAG